AUUGAACGCUGGCGGCAUGCCUUACACAUGCAAGUCGAACGGUAACGCGGGGCAACCUGGCGACGAGUGGCGAACGGGUGAGUAACGCAUCGGAACGUGCCCAGUAGUGGGGGAUAGCCCGGCGAAAGCCGGAUUAAUACCGCAUACGACCUACGGGUGAAAGCGGGGGAUCGCAAGACCUCGCGCUAUUGGAGCGGCCGAUGUCAGAUUAGGUAGUUGGUGGGGUAAAAGCCUACCAAGCCUACGAUCUGUAGAUGGUCUGAGAGGGCGACCGGCCACACUGGGACUGAGACACGGCCCAGACUCCUACGGGAGGCAGCAGUGGGGAAUUUUGGACAAUGGGCGCAAGCCUGAUCCAGCCGUGCCGCGUGCGGGAAGAAGGCCUUCGGGUUGUAAACCGCUUUUGUCAGGGAAGAAACGCUCUGGGUUAAUACCCUGGGGUAAUGACGGUACCUGAAGAAUAAGCACCGGCUAACUACGUGCCAGCCGCCGCCGUAAGAC
rnacentral:rRNA from 1 species